AGUGAACGCUGGCGGUAGGCCUAACACAUGCAAGUCGAACGGCAGCACAGUAAGAGCUUGCUCUUACGGGUGGCGAGUGGCGGACGGGUGAGGAAUACAUCGGAAUCUACUUUUUCGUGGGGGAUAACGUAGGGAAACUUACGCUAAUACCGCAUACGACCUACGGGUGAAAGCAGGGGAUCUUCGGACCUUGCGCGAUUGAAUGAGCCGAUGUCGGAUUAGCUAGUUGGCGGGGUAAAGGCCCACCAAGGCAACGAUCCGAAGCUGGUCUGAGAGGAUGAUAGGCCCACUUGGACCUGAGCACCGGCCCAGAUCCCUACGGGAGCAAGAAGUGGGGAAAAUUGACCAAUGGGCGAAAGCCUGACCAAGCAAUCCCGGGUGGUGGAGGAAGGCCUUCGGUUGUUAAACCCCUUUUGUUGGGAAAGAAAAGCAGCAGGUUAAUACCCCGCUGUUCUGACGGUACCCAAAGAAUAAGCACCGGCUAACUUCGUG
rnacentral:rRNA from 1 species